CCUUCCGGCAGGGUCGUCUUAAUCUACGGACACGCUGGGCACUUGCCUGGGGCUCUUAGUUUAUCCUACGUCGAACGUGUAGCACAAAUACAAUUUUGAGAAUGAAUGGGGCGCUAAGUAAUAUUUUUUCUGGAAAGGGGGCGGUAGGACAAGAAAGUUUGGGAACCACUGGUCUAAAGUAUCCAAAAGUGACAUUCAUUUCCAACAAGCAAGUAAGCGAAGAUCGGGUUUUAAUCGUAAUCAUAGUUGCCAUAAUAUCUCGAGUUCAAGUUGGCUGAAUGACUUCAAAGGAGUGAAUUUUCAGCGCAUGUGCCUUUAUCGUCUGAACCACGCUGUUCAAAAUCUAAUUAUUUUUAAUAUUUUUUGUUAGUAUAUUAAGGACAACAAAAAAUAUAAAAAAUCGAUAUUCAAACUUUAAAGUGCUGUCAUUUUUUAAAUUUGAUAAACAGAAUCGUGGUAACCACGAACAUAC